rnacentral:rRNA from 1 species
CUUGGUCAUUUAGAGGAAGUAAAAGUCGUAACAAGGUCUCCGUAGGUGAACCUGCGGAGGGAUCAUUACACAAUAUGAAAGCGGGCUGGACUCCCCCCAGCAGUGCGUUGCUUUGCGGCGUGCGCUGUUGGGGCCAGCCUUGCUGAAUUAUUCACCCGUGUCUUUUGCGUACUUCUUGUUUCCUUGGUGGGUUCGCCCACCACAAGGACAAACCAUAAACCUUUUGUAAUUGCAAUCAGCGUCAGUAACAAUAAUAAUAAUUACAACUUUCAACAACGGAUCUCUUGGUUCUGGCAUCGAUGAAGAACGCAGCGAAAUGCGAUAAGUAGUGUGAAUUGCAGAAUUCAGUGAAUCAUCGAAUCUUUGAACGCACAUUGCGCCCUUUGGUAUUCCAAAGGGCAUGCCUGUUCGAGCGUCAUUUGUACCCUCAAGCUUUGCUUGGUGUUGGGCGUCUUGUCUCCAGUUCGCUGGGGACUCGCCUUAAAGUUAUUGGCAGCCGGCCUACUGGUUUCGGAGCGCAGCACAAGUCGCGCUCUCUUCCAGCCAAGGUCAGCAUCCACAAAGCCUUUUUUCAACUUUUGACCUCGGAUCAGGUAGGGAUACCCGCUGAACUUAAGCAUAUCAAUAAGCGGAGGACCGCC